rnacentral:rRNA from 1 species
GAUGAACGCUGGCGGCGUGCCUAAUACAUGCAAGUCGAGCGAACGGACGAGAAGCUUGCUUCUCUCAUGUUAGCGGCGGACGGGUGAGUAACACGUGGAUAACCUACCUAUAAGACUGGGAUAACUUCGGGAAACCGGAGCUAAUACCGGAUAAUAUUUUGAACCGCAUGGUUCAAAAGUAAAAGACGGUCUUGCUGUCACUUAUAGAUGGAUCCGCGCUGCAUUAGCUAGUUGGUAAGGUAACGGCUUACCAAGGCAACGAUGCAUAGCCGACCUGAGAGGGUGAUCGGCCACACUGGAACUGAGACACGGUCCAGACUCCUACGGGAGGCAGCAGUAGGGAAUCUUCCGCAAUGGGCGAAAGCCUGACGGAGCAACGCCGCGUGAGUGAUGAAGGUCUUCGGAUCGUAAAACUCUGUUAUUAGGGAAGAACAUAUGUGUAAGUAACUGUGCACAUCUUGACGGUACCUAAUCAGAAAGCCACGGCUAACUACGUU